GUUUUUUAGAAAUUUUUAUUUAAAAUUUAAUCUGCCCAAUGAUUAUUUAAAUGGCUGCGGUAAUUUGACCGUACAAAGGUAGCAUAGUAAUUAGUCUUUUAAUUGAAGUCUGGAAUGAAUGAUUGGAUGAGAAAAUUACUUUCUUUAAAUUUUUAUUAAUUAUAAUUUGAUUUUUUAGUGAAAAAGCUAAAAUGUUUAUUUGGGACGAUAAGACCCUAUAGAGCUUUAAAUUUUUUUUAUAUAAUAUUAAUUUUUGGUUUAUUAUUUUUUUUAUAUUUAUUAAUUUUUGGUUGGGGUGACAGUAAAAGUUUUUUUAUCUUUUAUUUUAUUUUUCAUUAAUUAUUGUUUUUUUGAUCCAAAUAUUUUUUUUGAUUAUAAGAUUAAGUUACCUUAGGGAUAACAGCGUAAUUUGUUUUUAGAGUUCUUAUCGAUGAAUAAGUUUGCGACCUCGAUGUUGGAUUAAGAUUAGAAAAGGGUGAAGAUUUUCUUUAUUCUAGGUCUGUUCGACCUUUAAAUUCUUACA
rnacentral:rRNA from 1 species